CUUUGGAUUCCAACAUUCCACCUGGUUCUCACAGGGCCCAGUGACAACUGAAAUGUGAUAUUCUAAACCAAACCCCCUCAUCCAUGCUUGUAGCAGUUUCCAUCACUCCUUCAUCACUCAGGAUCAUCUCAAUAUAAUUUGUGGACAGAGAAAAGCUAGCACCCCAUACCAGUAGGGAAAGAACUUCCGGAAAGCUUCUACCCAACUCAAACCACCACAUCAGAACAGAAAUUAAAACACAAGUCCUCAUCACUCUGGAAACCAUGUAGUAAUGAGAACAAAGUUUCAAAGAUGACAGAAAAUUCCUCUGAUUUUAAACUCUGAAAUAAUCGUUUUGUCACAGAGCUACAGCACUCUCUUUUAUCAGUGUAUAAACACAUAUCCAAGAGAAAGGAAUUUUCUGCAGGGUUCUUCUAGUGUUGUAGCCAAGACAAACCCACCGAAUAUGGGACUUGCCCUGAUCAAGGCCACUACAGAGAAAGAUGUUUUAGUCUCUGGAGAAGGGAUUUAACUACGAAGAGGGCACCUUGAGGCGUCUGCAGAGCGUGCGCAGUUCUUCACUAUUUAGAGCAUCGAUCCUGCGGUGAUACUCAGCCACUGACACUACCUGAAUAUGGAGACAGGAAGAAAAUAAUUCCACUGAUAGUUGGGGGGG